GGAUGCGAUCAUACCAGCACUAAAGCACCGGAUCCCAUCAGAACUCCGUAGUUAAGCGUGCUUGGGCGAGAGUAGUACUAGGAUGGGUGACCUCCUGAGAAGUCCUCGUGUUGCAUUCC
rnacentral:rRNA from 1 species